rnacentral:rRNA from 1 species
UGCAAGUCGAGGGGCAGCAUUUUAGUUUGCUUGCAAACUGGAGAUGGCGACCGGCGCACGGGUGAGUAACACGUAUCCAACCUGCCGAUAACUCGGGGAUAGCCUUUCGAAAGAAAGAUUAAUACCCGAUGGCAUAAUUAGACCGCAUGGGUUUUAUAUUAAAGAAAUUCGGUAUGAGAUGGGGAUGCGUUCCAUUAGUUUGUUGGCGGGGUAACGGCCCACCUAGUCUUCGAUGGAUAGGGGUUCUGAGAGGAAGGUCCCCACAUUGGAACUGAGACACGGUCCAAACUCC